AUGUACAAGUUACUUGAAAGCAACCUUGCAGGGUGUGACUACCGGUGGAUUUGGAAAGACAAAAUUCCCCUUAAGAUCAAAAUCUUUAUGUGGCAGUUAUUUCAGGAUGCGGUCCUGAUGAGAGAUGUUAUGAAAUGUCGAAAAUGGCCUGGUAAUGCUAAGUGUUUGUUUUGUGCUGCCCAUGAGACGGCGCAACAUCUUUUCUUCCUUUGCCCAGUUGCCAGGUGA
rnacentral:rRNA from 1 species